rnacentral:rRNA from 1 species
UCCGUAGGCGGGCUAAUAAGUCAGGGGUGAAAUCCAACAGCUUAACUGUUGAACUGCCUUUGAUACUGUUAGUCUUGAAUUAUAUGGAAGUAGAUAGAAUGUGUAGUGUAGCGGUGAAAUGCUUAGAGAUUACACAGAAUACCGAUUGCGAAGGCGGUCUACUACGUAUAUAUUGACGCUAAUGGACGAAAGCGUGGGGAGCGAACAGGAUUAGAUACCCUGGUAGUCC